GAAAACAAAAGGUCUCAACCCCUCUCCUUCUGCUAAGGCGCAGUAAGCGCCCAUCAUCGCGACCCUCUCUUCACGCGCACGCCGCAACAGCGGCCGGUAAACAGGUAAGGCCCCCCGAUUUCCCCUUUAAGUCUUUGUUUUAUUUUUUAAAGUAAAAGAGGGAAGAAAAAAUAUUCGUAACAGUAAAAAAAAUAGAGGAAAAAACUUAUCAUCACCUUGUUUCUGUUUGUUUGAACGAAAAUUACACUCAAAGAUUUCCGUAUUUUUCUGAUUUCCAAAAAAAAAAGAAUCCCCUUUUACAGCUUUUCGUAUGGCUUUUAUAUCCUAAGGAAAUAAAUCGAAAAAAACAAGUCUCCUUUUGUUACUGUGCUUCUUGUUGUUUUCUGUUGUAGGUAUAGUUGUGAAAACCUCGGAAUCGCGAGGCGUGGCGGAGUGGGACGCUGGUGAGAGGCAUGCGACGCGAGGGCUCAAGCAACACCCUUGGGUUUCUGUUUGUUUGGGCCUUGUUUGGGUUUAUUUUUAGGCCUAUGUUUCUUGUAUUGGGUCAUGGCAUAAAUUAGUUGGGCUGUGUAAUGUUUUUGGGUUUGGGUUUGUGAGCUUUGGGCCAGGGCAUAAAUUUGGUCCUAUAGCUGUCCCUCUUUGCUCAUUGUCGUGUAACGAGAAUAGAGCAAAGAUUUUAGAAGGGCCAAAUUUGCCUGGGCUGGCUGAGUCUUGUCUUCUUUGCCGUAACCCACCGCACCUUAUUGCUUCAAAACGCUCCGUUACUGCUUCACGGAGAUGUGAUCUGCUGUAAUUUGAUCUGCUUUACUCCUGCUCAGUAAAGAUAAAAUCUGGUAUGUUUAGCUUGCUCCACUCUUGCUCAGUGAAGAUAAGGCUGAUGAUUGGAAUCUGCUCUAUUGCCGAUAUAUGGAGAUAAGAUUCAUCAAAAUUUGAUCUGCUUUGCUCCUGCUCAGCGAAGAUAAGAUCUGGUAUAUUUAGCCUGCUCCACUCCUGCUUAGUGAAGAUAAGGCUGGUGGCUGAAAUCUACUCCAUUGCCGAUACAUGGAGAUAAGAUUCACCAAAAUUUGAACUGCUCCGCUCCUGCUCAGUGAAGAUAAGGCUGGUGGCUGAAAUCUGCUCCAUUGCCGAUACAUGGAGAUAAGACUUGCCAAAAUUUGAUUUGCUUCACUCCUGCUCAGUGAAGAUAAGAUCUGGUAUGUUUAGCCUACUCUACUCCUGCUCAGUGAAGAUAAGGCUGAUGAUAUCUGUCAUUUUAAUCAAUACUGCUAUAUUGUCUACUAGGGGAUCCUAUCUGUAGAAGAGUGAUUUUAUGCUUAUGCUAGACGAUUAGGAUGCCAUGAUUAAUGUCAUGAGAAUGAUCAUUUUAACUUUUGGGUUGUUAUCGCUCGCUGUUUGCUAUGGUAACAUCCCUGAUAUAUGUCUUCUCGUCCAGCUUGAUAAAAGAUGACCUGAAGAUGCAGUUAACCCCUUAUCCUUCACACGUUUCUAACCCUUUAAGCCUGGUGAGUUUUAAAUAAUUGUCCUGUUUCAGGAUCUUGUAUUGUUUAGAAAUCUUUCAGAGUAAUACGUAAAACCUUUUUUGAAAACAUUGUUAGUUCAUUAAUCAUUAUUUCAAUAUAAAAUGCUUGAAAAAGAUUAUAUAGGUAGGCGAAACUGAAAUUUAUUCGAGUCAAAAUUCGCGAAAGACGCACUAAACAAAAAAACAUUCAUUAUUUGAAAUACAAAUAAGUGCCCUAGAUUUCGCAGUUUGAGCUUCUCUGCACGAACUCCUCGAGGACCAUUCUAAACUUGGCAUGUGCUUAAGGGAUCUAAAGCAUUUUGUUGAUGCCCCAAGAUGUAGUCCAUCCCUUCUUUGUCGAUUUAAGUAUAGCGAGACUAUCACUUGCCCCAGUCUGGAUCGAAACUUGAAUUGCUCUUUGCGGGUUUUCAAUUCAAAACCCCUUUGGUCUCAAGGCGCCCUUUACAGGUUUUCCCCUUGGCCUCCUUUUUUUUUGGGCGCCCUUUACGGGUUUUCACCUCAACUGCUUCAAGCAAAAUAUCUUUUGACAGAAUCUGAAUUUAUCGGGUUAGGCAAGCUCUCGCCAUCCAUCUCUGCUAAUAUCAAUGCCCCUCUAGAGAAAGCCUUUUUUACCACAUAGGGUCCUUCCCAAUUUGGCAUCCAUUUCCCCUUGAAAUCUUUUUACAUAGGGAGAAUCUUUUUCAAUACCAAGUCUCCCUCAUGGAGUACCCUGGGGCGAACUUUUUUGUUGUAAGCUCGCAUCAUUCUCUUCUGGUACAUUUGACCAUAACGAAUAGCCUUCAGCCUCUUCUUUUCAAUCAGGUUUAAUUGGUCAUAACGGGAUUGGAUCCAUUCUGCUUCAUCUAACUUCAGCUCUGAUAAAACUCGGAGAGAAGAGAUUUCAACCUCAAUAAGUGAGACUGCCUCUAUCCCAUAAACCAAUGAAAAAGGUGUAGCCCCGGUAGAAGUUCUGACAGAUGUCCGAUAAGCAUAAAGGGCGAAUGGGAGAUUUUCAUGCCAAUCUUUGUAAGUUUCAGCCAUCUUCCCCACAAUCUUCUUGAUAUUCUUAUUAGCUGCCUCCACUGUCCCAUUCAUUUUCGGGCAGUAUGGUGACGAAUUGUGGUGCUUAAUAUUGAACUGACUGCAGACUUUCGCUAUCACGCUAUUGUUCAGAUUCAACGCAUUGUCAGACACGAUCCUUUUUGGCAUACCAUAAUGACAUAUGAUCUCCUUCUUUAGGAACUUGCUGACUGCCGUCUUUGUGACAUUGGCAUACGAAGCAGUCUCUACCCAUUUGGUAAAAUAGUCAAUGACCAGAAAAAUGAAUCGAUGCUCGUUUGAAGCCUUUGGCGAAAUUGGCCCAAUGACGUCUAUCCCCCACAUUGAGAAAGGCCGUGGGGAAGUCAUGACAUGGAGGGGUGAAGGAGGCACGUGGAUUGUCUCCAUAGAUUUGGCACUUAUGGCACUUCUUAGCAUAACUGAUGCAAUCUCCCUCCAUUGUGGACCAGUAAUACCCGAACCUCAUGAUUUGUCGAGCCAUUGUGAAGCCAUUGGCAUGCGUCCUACAAACCCAAUCAUGGACUUCUUCCAGGAUUUUCUUAGCCUCAAUAGCAUCAACACAUCUUAGUAACACCUGAUCCUUCCUCUUUUUAUACAUGAUCUCUCUGUCUAAGACAUAGCCACUAGCUAACCUCCUUAAUGUUCUUUUAUCAUUUUCAGUUGCUUGAUCUGGGUACGCACGAUUCUUCACAUACUGUAGGAUAUCAUGAUAUUAAGGAUGAUCAUCUCUCUCCUCCUCUUCAUCGACAUUACAGCAGUGAGCUGGAGCCUCACAAAUACUCAUCUGAAUUGGCUUCAUAUCCUCCUGUUCAUUUACUUUGAUCAUGGAAGCAAGUGUAGCCAGGACGUCAGCCAUCUGAUUCUCGUCUCGUGGGAGGUAAUAGAAGGUGAUAUCUUCAAACUCCUCAAUUAACUCCAGGAUUAACUUUCGGUAACUGAUCAAUUUGGGAUCUCUUGUUUCCCAUUCACCUUUAAGCUGAUAAAUUACCGAUGCAGAAUCUCCAUACACUUCUAGCACCUUGAUUUUGCGAUCUAUAGUUGCCUGAAUUCCCAUGAUACAUGCCUCGUAUUCUGCCAUAUUAUUUGUACAGUCAAAAUCCAACUUGCAAGUGAAUGGAUAAUGAUCUUCAUUUGGGGAUAUCAAUACUGCCCCAAAUCCAUUGCCAACAGCAUUUGAUGCUCCAUCAAAGCUCAAUUUCCAAGGACGAUCCUCGGGCGUGUCUUCUUUAGUGGCUGCCACAUACAUUAGAUCUUCAUUGGGGAAAUUAAAAUUCAAGGGUUCAUAGUCCUCCAAAGCUCUGCUAGCUAGGAAAUCUACUAUUGCACUCCCCUUCAUAUGUCAAAUUCAGAGAGCAGAAUUUGCCAUCGGGCCAUUCUUCCAUUCAAAGCGGUUGACUCCAUCAUGUACUUGAGAGGGUCUAACUUUGAGAUUAACCAGGUCGUAUGGUACAACAUGUACUGCUUCAACCUUCGUGUUGUCCAAACCAAAGCACAGCAUAGCCUCUCAAUUGGGGGGUAUCUCAUUUCACACUCAGUGAAUUUUUUACUGAGGUAAUAUAUCACUUUUUCUUUCCUCCCAAUCUUAUCGUGUUGGCCGAGCACACAUCCCUUUGAAUUAUCAAAUACUGUUAAAUACAAUAUCAAUGGCCUACCAGAGCUAGGUGGUGUUAGCACUGGGGGACUGGACAAGUACUGUUUAACCUUCUCAAAAGUUUUCUGGCACUCAUCAUCCCAAAUGCCAGGAUUAUGCUUUUUAAGAAGGCGGAAUAUGGGGUCACACUUCUCAGUUAGUUGCGAGAUGAACCGAGCAAUGUAAUUUAGUCUCCCUAAGAAACCUCAGACUUCCUUCUGAGUGCAUGGCGAAGGCAACUGCUGUAUAGCUUUGACCUUAUCAGGGUCGAUUUCUAUUCCCUUAUCACUGACCACGAAACUAAGUAACUUCCCGGACCUAGCUUCAAAGGUGCAUUUUGACGGAUUGAGCUUUAAUUGGAACUUUCUCAACCUCAGAAACAAUUUCCUCAAAACUCACACAAGCUCUUCUUGAGUUCGGGAUUUCGCAAUCAUGUCAUCAACGUAGACCUCGAUCUCCUUAUGCAUCAUGUCAUGAAACAAGGUUACCAUGGCUAUUUGAUACGUUGCUCCCGCAUUCUUUAACCCGAAUGGCAUCACCUUGUAGCAAAAUGUCCCCCAUAAGGUUAUGAACGUGGUUUUUUCCAUGUCUUCUGGAUGCAUCUUAAUCUGAUUGUACCAAGAGAAACCAUCUAUGAAUGAGAACAAUGAAUAACCCACCAUAUUAUCCACUAGGGUGUCAAUAUGAGGCAACGAAAAGUUAUCCUUUAGGCUGGCCUUGUUUAGAUCUAUGUAAUCUACACACAUCCGCACUUUCCCAUCUUUCUUAGGAACAAGGACGACGUUAGCCAUCCACUCCAAGUAAUUAUCCACCUGUAAGAAGCCAGCAUCAAACUGCUUUUUGACUUCUUCCUCUAUUUUCAUUGCUAUAUCGGGUCUCAUUCUUCGGAGCUUCUGCUGAAUUGGCUUGCACUCUUCUUUUGUGAGGACACGAUGUACUGCGAUAUCGGUACUUAAAUCGGGCAUAUCCUGGCACGACCAUGUGAAGACAUCUUUAAAUUCUUGGAAUAGUUCAAUGAGGUCCUGUCUUGUCCUCUUGCUCACACAAGUGCCAACUUUCACCUCAUUCCUUUCUUUCAAGGUUACAUUUUCGAUUGUUUCCUUGUGAGGCAGAAUCUACUUCUCUUCCUGCUCCGCCAUCCUUAACAAGUCUGGAGAUAAACCACAAUCUUCGUCAUCUUCAAAAUCCUGAGAUCCCUCAGAGUACAUAUCUUGCUCAAAAGGAGAUUCUGGAUUCAUAUUAGCAUUGCUCAUGAUGUUGGCAUCCGGGGGCCUAUUACGGGUGCAAGAAAAAUACCCAAAGAAAACAAAAUGAAUAAUUGUUUUGUAUGGUAUGAUCGUGUAUGGAAUGAAAGAAGGAAAAAAUAGUCGCUCAAGCUAAAAUAUGAAAAUGCAUUUUUUAUUGAAAAUAAUGUUUGAACAUGAGUCUAAUUCACAAAAGAUUCUUAUUGUCCCUAGGCUAGAAGAUAACAAGUGGGUUUUGAAUAUUACUCUAUGUUAUCUCUAAAGAUUACAGGAAUUUCUUCCACAGUCCAGUUAUUCAAAACACUCCCAGACUCAUACGGUCAAAUGCCCGAUAAAUUCCUUUCCAUUGCUUCCUCUUCAAACGUGGCAUUGAUGUUCUAAAUUCCCAUCACAUCCUCGACCAUUCCUUCUUUUAUCCUCUCCUGUGUAGAAUGAAUAAACCCUAUAGAUACAAAUAUUUGGGAAAUGUGGGGGAAGCUCAUCGGUUCCCACCUGACUUUUGUCCCACUCAAUCUCGCUCUCCGCUGUUCUUGUUUCCUUUCAAACUCCUUCUUCACUUUGCUUGCAUCUGGCCUGAAUCCCAAACCAAAGCGAUCCCACUUGCCAACCAAGACUGGCACUCUAACUUGUCCAUGGAGGUGCCUCCCAAGUCCUCUUCCAGGUAACGCCCCUUUCCCAACUGUCAGCUGCAGGCUUAUUUUCGUAGCCCCUGAUAUCUUAGGUAUCAGAAUCCUGCUUCCUUCAGCUAUAAAUGUUGCGUUUACAAACUCUAACGAUCGAAAUGAACAUUCAACCGCUUCGUUGUCAUUCUCUACGUAGGGUGCAUCACUGGUAACUGACGCAAUAAUGUCCUCCUCCGCAUUUAUUAUUAUUAGCUGACCCUCAGUAACCAUCUUUAGCUUCUGGUGCAGUGAGGAUGGCACUGCCCCAUCUGAGUGAAUCCAAGGUCUUCCUAAUAGACAGUUAUAGGAAGGCUUAAUAUCCAUCACGAGGAAAUCUACCUCGUACGUGUUUGGGCCAAUCUGAAGAGGUACUUCUAUCCUUCCCAUUACUUUCCUUUCUCUGCCAUCAAAUGCUCUUACUAUGUUCUGACACGUCUUCAUAUGGAAACUGUCUAUAGGUAAAUGGUUUAAUGUAGCCCAAGGCAACACGUUUAAUGCGGACCCAUUAUCAACUAGUACUCCGGGUAGCGUAUACCCCUUGCAACGUGUAGUGACAUGCAGAGCCUUAGUAGACCCCCUACCCCCUGGAGGUAUCUCAUCAUCGCUGAAGGAGAUGAAAUUGUCAGCGCUUAUGUUGCUGACGAGACAGUCUAAUUUGUUAACCGAAAUGUCAUCCGCAACAUAGGUUUCGUUCAACAUUUUCAUCAAUGCGUUGCGAUGGACCUCCGAAUUUAAUAACAGAGCCAAUACGGAUAUGCGAUCCGGUUGUUGGUGUAGUUGUUCCACAAUACUAUACUCGCUGUGUUUUAGGAACUUCAAGAACUCAUUGGCUUCAUUUUCCAUUACUGGCUUAUUAACCAGUGGUUCUGAUCUCUCUACUUCUUGCUUGAGCAUGACGGGUUUCCUUUUUGCUGGUUCGGCUUCUGUGUUUGGCGUGUUAAUCGAACCCUCCUUCUCUGAAACUGCUAUACUACAGUUAUAAUUCCAAGGCACCCUAUGGCUAUCUUUAUAAGGGGAAGCUGUUGGCUUCUGGAUUAUAACUCUUGGUGUAACUCUUGCUUCUACUUCACUAACUCUAGGCUUCGAAAUAAUUAUCACUGGACGGCUGGCUCUGCAGCUUUCUUCACUUGAUUCUCCUCCUAGAGAGCAUACAUCCUCUUCUUCGACAGACUCGAGGAACUCCAAUUCCUUAUUAUCCAUUAGACCCUGUACUAGGGCCCUGAUAUCAAUACAAUUCUGGAUCUUGUGAUCUUUCUCAUGAUGGAACUCACAGUAGUUCCGUGUAUCUUGGAUUUUAUCCCCCAACUCCUGCAGGACUAAACCUCUCUUCUACAUUUCCUUCCAAAUUAGCUUCAAUGGGGUUCUCACCUCCGCGAUAUUCAGCUUGACUUUCCUCCCCAUAUUCUCAAUUAUCACGUUUACCCCUUUAUCAGUAUGACUGGGCAACGGAUUUCUCGUACCAGGUGUAUCAUCGAAUUUUACAACACCUGCUUUGAUAAGCCUUUCCACGCACCUUCUGAACGAGGUACAGUUUUCUAUCGAGUGCCCCGUAAUCCCUGCAUGGUAUUCGCGCUGAGUAUUUAUGUCGUACCACUUAGGGUAUGGGGCCUGCAACGGCUCUAAGUGGAAAGGAGCCACUACAUGUGCAUUAAACAGACUUUUGUAUAACUCCCUAUAUGUCACUGGUAUGGGAGUGAAAUUGAAACUUCUCUGUAUUCUGUCUCGUGUUAGGCUCCCGCCUUAGUGAGGCCUGCUGGCCUGUGACUAUCGCCCUUGACUGAUUAACAGUGGCAGGUUUUGCGUAGCUUGAGCUCACAUUACCUACUUCAUUCUCUCUUUUCUUCGGGGCUGACCUUCUCGUGUUAUCCCCAAAUUCUAUCUUACCCGAUCUUAUGGCAUUUUCUAUCAUUUCGCCAGACAUUACUAUGUCCGCGAAACUCUUGGUUGUGUUGCCUAACAUGUGAGUAAUGAAAGGAGUCUUCAAUGUAUUGAUGAAGAGCAUGGUUAUUUCUUUUUCUAGCAACGGUGGUUGGACCUGUGUAGCGACCUCUCUCCAUCUCUAAGCAUAUUGCCGGAAGCUUUCGUUUGGCUUCUUUUCCAUAUUCUAGAGUGUGAUCCGGUCAGGUGCUAUAUCUGUUAAAUGGCCGUACUGCUUCAUGAAGGCCUGGGCUAGGUCCUUCCACGACUUGACUUAGGUCCUACUCAAUUGAUUGUACCAUUUCGCUGCAGCCCCACUCAAACUAUCCUAAAAACAAUGGAUCAACAGUUGGUCGUUGUUGACAUACCCCGUCAUCCUUCGACAAAACAUCGUAAUGUGAGCCUCAGGGCAGCUGGUUCCGUUAUAUCUUUCAAACUGACAUUUUAAACUUCGGGGGAAGUACUAAGUCCAAGACCAAACUCAGUUCCUUUGCAUCGAUUCCGCUGUAAUGAUAGCAUUCUCUAACUCCUUGAACUUUUCCUCCAACCAUUUGCAUCGAUCCUCAAAUUGUUUUGGGACCUCAGCCUUUGUCUUUUCCACCUCUGCUGCGUCGUCGAAGUUAGAGACAUGAGGGUUUGCCAGAUUAUCUCCAGGGUUGGUGCUCGAUCCUGCUGGGAAGUUUGCUGGUGCCGAGGUACCAGUUUGAUAAAGAGGUUGGACAUUAACAGACACCCUUGGUGGUUGUGUUUGCAUGUUCAUUGGCACAAAACUUGUAGGACAAGCAGAAUCCUCAUUGCCAUUUCCCGUGUCCACCAUAGGGCCUUUUCCUUUGUUAGACCCUCCUUCAAACAGCUGUGUCAGCUAGCUUAUCAUGUUGUUUUAUGAUUCCAGCAUGUUUCUCUGGGACUCCAGCAUUUGGUCUCUCAUUUCCUGUUGGAUCUUAGCCAGCUGCUCUUGCAUCUCCUUUUGCAUUUACUCAAACCUUUGAUCCAUAUCCUUUGUUUUCCUUCGAGUGUACUACCGGUGUUCCAGGGUAACUAGAUAAAUGGCCGCUAAUUAAUAGGGUUCUUUUGUGUAUAUGAUGUUAUGCGAUGCAAUGCAAUACAAUGCAAAUGCAUGAUAUGAAUGCAAAAAAGGUUUCAAUUUAAUUCAUUUUAUUUAGAAUAACUUUAUUAAAAGACAAAAUCCUUUACAUAAAAAUAGACUAUAUAUACGGCCUAGCCCUUAUGCCCAGAGCUCUAACUUUUUUAAGAAGUUCAGCCAGCUCUUGACCUCGGUUCGACAUUGACUCAUACCUUACACUCAAUACAUCAGCAGGGACUACUAGGAUUUGUAAAUGUUCUGCCACUUCUCGAAUCUGAACUAUAGCUUCUCCCAUGAGGUGAUCUCUAUCUCGAACCUUAUUCUGAGACCGGUGAAGUUGCUCCUCCAGUUGCUCACUAUUUGCUUCUAGUGAUUCAAUUCGGUAUUCACAAUCCUGUAGCGCAGCCCUAAGUUCUUCUAUCUUCCCCUUCAGAUUCUCGAUCUCACUUAAGCCAGCCUUUAAUUCCAUUAUAGAGUUACGACUACGAUGCUAAUGCAAUGUCUUCUCUAACUCUGUUAUUCGAGCUCUUAACGUUUCAUUUUCGCUUUGGCUCUCUGAUGUAGUUCUUUUCAGGGCUUCCUCUCGUGCUUGAGCAUCACAGAACCUCCUCUUCCAUUGAUCGGCCUUAGACUUUUCUUCUUGGAUUUCUUGUUGCCAUUGCUUUGAUUUUUUCCCAAUCUGACAGUUCUCAUCGACAUAUGCAGCUCCUUGUAAUCAUUCUUCAGACUGUCCAAGUCUUCUUCAGCUUUCCUUUUCCCCUUUCUCAGUUUCUCAGCGUCUAAUUUCUGGACGUCAAUGCCCAAUUUUAGAUAUACCUUCUCCUCCUCGAGUUGCUCUAUCUUUUUCCCCAACUCUGAACUUCUCUUCUCAAAAUCCUGUUUUAUAAUUUCCAAUUCGGAGAGAACUACUCGCAGAUACUCCUCUAUCGGUUGAGAACCUUCUAAACUCGGCCCAGGGAUAUUGUCGUUAACUCGUCUACUCAACCAUCCAUCAUACUCAGGACUCGUCAUUGGAUCUGCAGCCAACCCUUCCAUUCGACGAGUUUGAUUCCAAGCAUUAGAAAUCUCUUUAACCCUUUUCUUGUAGUCUCCCUUAUACGAAUACUCACAUUGAGCAAGCCUAUGGGUUACCGGUAUGAACUGUCUUGCUGCAUAUUGCCUAAGCACGAGCAAGGGAGCAUAUCCAAUGGCUCCCCAGAUCCCAAGCAAAGGGACCCAAUCGAAACUCCCACAUCGAAAAAGAAUUUUGUUAGGCAUCCACCAUGGUGCUUUCCACUCAAUGUCCUCUCAUUGGAGAUUUUGCAGGAGCGCGAUCCAGUUUUCUUCCGAUAUGUCAUCCUUUCUGAGUGUAGCUGCUAUCUCCUUUAAUGGGGAAUAAUUCCCAAAGAAAGCUCAAUAAUGACCUUUGUCUAUUUUCCAAAAAUGACUGUGAAACCAUACUAACAAUAACUGUGCACACCCUAUAAAUCUGCCCUCGUCAGUCCUUCUACACGCGUUCAAGGACCUGAAUGUCUCAGCUAAAAUUGUAGAAACUGGUGUGACUCCCUUGUCAAGUCAAUUGAAUAGAUCCGUGAUCGCCUUAUCAACAUAUCCCAAUGCCUUAGGGAAGAGCAUCAACUCAUAGAUACUCAAGGCAAAGACGUCAACUUUCUUCUUCAUAUCAGGAUGCGUUAGGCUCAAAUCUCGCAAAUUCUUCCACGGGAUGCACUUACACUCCCCUUUUUGCUUGAUCCUUGCUGUAACCCACUGUUCGGUUAUUCCAGUAAUAUUCAUUAGCUUUUCCCAAGAAGCCGGAACAUAAGUAGCUUUCGAAUAGGCCUUAUCGACUUGAACCUUCGGACAAUUUAAUAAAGCUAUAUACUCCUCCACAGUGGGUACUAAAUCCACCCUCCCAAACGUGAAGUAACUAUAUGCAGGGUUCCAAUACUAAGCAAGGGCCCUGAAUAAGUGUUCGUCUAUUUCGAUAUCAAAUAGGUACGGUAGAUCUCCAUAGUUGCAGUAGAACAAUUGUUUAGCCUCAUCAUCCCACUGAUCCCAUAUCUCCUUCAAUUCCUGAUGAUUAUUUUGAGUCACGCUAAUGUGAGUGUAAUCCCAUAACUCAGAUUUGUACCCCUCGCUAGGCUGUCUCCCUUCUCCAAUUGUGUUAUCUCUGACCAUUCAUGGACAGCCGCAUUAUUUUCUACCUUAUCAAGGAAUUUGUCCCCCAUGACGAGCUUUCUAAUUCAGAAAAUUGAACACGAAUUAACACCUUUUAAAUGUGGAAUGACAUGCAAAUAUGGCAAAACAAAACACAGCAAGUUAGUAUCAUAUAUCAGAAACAUAACUCAAAGUAAAGAAAAUAAAAACAAGCACCUAUUGGGGGUAAUCACUAUGGUUUAGCGUAGUUCUUCCAAAGGUGGGCCCUUAGGGCUCCUCUAUAUGUGGUUUGGUUCUAGAGUUGAGGUACCUGAACCAGUAGAUUCCUCAAUCCUCACCCAUUAUAGGCUCAUAUAGACCGAGUUUAGUUCAGGGGGAUACAUUUCCCUAUGGUUGCACGGAGGUGAAAACCUCACGAAGACAUAGGUACGAAUGUAUCCCGAAAGCGAUCCACUAUCCUGCACGGAGGUGAAAACCUCACGAAGGAAAUAGCUUCUCACUCCCACUUAAGAGGUGUGACCACAACGGUCAUGCAAUGCAUUGAUAGAAGAUAUAAAAGAACUUUGGAAAAAAAUGCCGAAAAAACAUAACACCAAACAGAUGAAAUGCAAUAAGAGGAUCGUAGACUCAAAACCAAGUUCAACUUUCGACAAAAGACAAAAAGUAAUCAAAUCGCGACUCAACUCUCUUAUAAAUCCCCAGCGGAGUUGCCAAGCUGUCGAAACCAUUUUUAAGUUUUGAAAAACAUGGAUCGACUUUAAAAAUAUGGAGUCGCCACCAAUCCUUUUUGAGGAGUGAUUGGGCCACCCUAAAAAUGAUCGUUUUAACAAAAAUUUGGGCCUAUUAAAACAAUAAUUUUUUUGGUCUGCUAAGUUUGAGAAAAUGGGUUUGGGAGUCGGUUACGUACGAGGAAGGAUUAGCACCCUCGUAACGCCCAAAAAUUGAUACCUAUUUGAUUAGUUAAUGUCUUGGUGUCAAAAUUUGAAAAGACUUUAGCGUACGAUCCUUUUAUUUAAAAGAAAACCGAAAUAAAUUGGAUAAAAUGUAAAGACCUGCUCAUCUCGAAGGAGGAAAAUGCCAUAUCCAAUAAGUUAGGGUUUAACAUUUCAGACCUUCGGGACUAAGUUGGUCUUUGAUUUUCAAAAUUCAUGGAUGAAGGUUCAAGAGAAGGAUAUUCGGUCCUCCGGGACUCAUGAAAAAUUAGAACUCAGUAAGUUAGAGCUCAAUCUCUCAGAACUCCCAAAUACCGAAGGUUGCCUUAAUUUUGGAAAUCACUAUCCUCAAUAUAACGCGAUGCCACACCCAGUAAGUUAGGGUGCAACGUCCCAAAUUUCAAGAAUAGGUUUUUAUUUGAACCUCAUACAAUUAGAUUUAAGAAGGGUACUUGAUUAUUUAGGUUCAAUGAGGAAAAUUGGAACCCAGUAAGUUAGGGCACAAUCCUCCCGAGGAUCCUAAAUAUCGAAUAUUGCCUUUAUUUUGAAAACAAUCGAGGAUAAAUCUUUGAAUAAAAAUGAAUUUGGGGCGGUUGAAACUUAACAAAAAAAUAAUAACAUGCAAUAUGAAAAUAGCAGUAUAAUAAUAAACUUGACAGUGUAUAUAUUAAUACCUAGAAUAUAGUGAAUAUAAGGAAAAUCAACAAUAAUUAUAACAAUAGUAAUAAAUAUAAUAACAUAACAAACAUAGCAGUAAAGAUAUUAACGAUACGAAAAUGCAUAAUAGAAGUGAAAAUAAUAUGUCGAAUGAUGAUGUAUAUAUAUAGUGAUAAUAGUAAAGUUAAAAUAAUAAUGCUAAAUUAGUGAAAGUGAAAAAUAAUAAAUAAUAAUUUAAUAUAAAAAUAUUCGAUAAAAAAAACUAUGGUAUAUAAAAAUAAUAAAAAUAAUAUAGUAGGUCUAUUAAUAAUUAUAUUGAAAAAAACUUUAGCGAAAAAUAUAUACAUAUAAAAAUUAUAAAUAAUAAUAGUAAAAUAAUAGUAGUAAAAGGUAAAUAAAAUAAUAAAUAAAAUAUGAUAAAUAAAAUAUAAUAAGCAUAAUAAACUAUAUUUAAAAUUAUUAACUUUUAAUAAAAUAUAUAUAUAAAAAAAAUUAACAUAAGUAGUACAGAAAAAUGAUUAUUAGUAAAAACAAAAAUAAUAUAACAAAUAAUGUAAUAAAUAUCAUGAUAAUUUAUACAUAAAAUAAUUAGUUUUACUUUAAAAAUAUAUAUAUACAAAGCAUAUAACAAAUAUAUAAAUAAAUAAAUAAUAUAAUAAUGUGAAACAUAACUCAAAUUGAUUAAAUUAAAUGAAAAUAAAUAAAAAAAUAAUUAAAAUGAUAUAAUGAGUAUAAUAAAUAAUAGUGUAAAAAAAUAAUAUAAUAAAUGAUAGGAAAAUAACUAAAAAAAUGAUAGUAAAAAAAAUAAAAUAGUAAUAAUAGAUUAAUAAUAAUACCAAAAAAAAUUAAUUUUGUGAUAAAAGUGUCUAAAAUAAACAAAAUAGGGCUUAAUUGGAAUCAAAACGGGAGUUCUGGGGUAAAACAUAAAUAAAAGGGGAAGGGAGGACCACAUUGGAGCGCGCGUGAAACAAGGGUGCUUAAAAAUGUAAUUUACCCAAAUUCCUGAACCUAGCUUUUAAUAUGGACCAAAUUAAAAGCUGCACAAAAUUGCUGGGAGAAAUUCAAAAACAAAAGUGAAGCAGAUUUGGGCAGCAAAAAAAUGCACGGGGAUUUAGUGCGCAAAUUGACCCUUUAAGGGCAAAACGCGUGGGCCUCACUACCUUACAAACAAGAAACCCCUUACCCCCCAAAGCAAUAUCCUACAAUCAAAGGAAAACAAAAGGUCUCAGCCCCUCUCCUUCUGCUAAGGCGCAGUAAGCGCCCAUCAUCACGACUCUCUCUCCACUCGCAAGCCGUAACGGCGGUCGGAGAACAGGUAAGGCCCCCCUCGAUUUCCCCUUUGAGUCUUUGUUUUAUUUUUUAAAGUAAAAGAGGAAAGAAAAAAGAUUCGUAACAGUAAAAAAAAAUAGAGGAAAAAAACUAUCAUCACCUUGUUUCUAUUUGUUUGAACGAAAAUUACACUCAAAGAUUUUCGUAUUUUUUUGAUUUCCAAAAAAAAAAGAAUCCCCUUUUACAGCUUUUCGUAUGGGUUUUAUAGCCUAAGGAAAUAAACCGAAAAAACAAGUCUCCUUUUGUUACUGUGCUUCUUGUUGUUUUCUGUUGUAGGUAUAGUUGCGAAAACCUCGGAAUCGCGAGGCAUGGCGGAGUGGGACGCUGGUGAGAGGCGUGCGGCGCGAGGGCUCAAGCAACAGCCUUGGGUUUCUGUUUGUUUGGGCCUUGUUUGGGUUUAUAUUUGGGCCUAUGUUUCUUGUAUUGGGUCAUGGCAUAAAUUAGUUGGGCUGUGUAGUGUUUUUGGAUUUGGGUUUGUGAGCUUUGGGCCCGGGCAUAAAUUUGGUCCUACAAUAUAUUUUGUUCUUUUUG
rnacentral:lncRNA from 1 species